UCCAAAGUAGCAAUCAGCUCCAGUGUGUUUUGACAAAUGCAGUCACCGCCGUCUCUUCUGAAUUCCUCAUUUCUUCAAUAUUAUACUACCAUCUCCUUCUCGAAGUUUCUCUCCCAAACUUACGUAUACGUACAUGUACGUAUGACCAAAGGUGAAGUCUUUCUGUGUGUGAAAAUUGAGGGAUGUAUGCGAAGCAGAAGAAGCUAAGGCCUCGACUUGACCGGCGAAACGCCCUAAGGAACGUCGAUUACGACGCUUCACAGUCGACGCCGUCAUCUCCGUCGUCGUUCGAAGAUCAGCCUACUCACCGGACUCGGUCGCUUGACCUUUAUCCUUUGACCGACUGUACAAGCUUCAGAAUCGACGGUGUUGGCGGUGAAUUCGACGUUAUUUGCCGCUCUUUAGGGCUUUCAGGUCCUGAAGACUUUGCGAUUCCUGUAGCUGCUUGGGAAGCUCGGAAACCUUGCUCCCGUUCUGACCGUUUGCGCCGCUCUCGUUUUGCUGAUUCCCGCCGUGACUCUGAUUAUAAGCUCGAGACUUCAAAUGAAUCGAACCGCCGGUUAAAUGAUUCGCCGGAAAAUGUGAUUGAGGUUUCGUCUAGUGAAUCGGAGGAAGAGACCAAACCAUGCUCUCACUCGGACCGUUUCAGCUCUGAGAAUGAGUUUGAGAGCUCGGAUGAGGUUUUUGACAGUGUUAGAAAUGGUGUUAGGGUUACUGUUGGCGGUGAAUUGAAUCACGGUUUAAAUUCUUCACCUGAAAAUGGGAUUAAGAUUAGGGUUAGUGAACUGGAGGAUGAUUAUUUGCCUACGGAUCUGAAAUGUGGAAUUAGGGGUUCUAGGCCACCAAGGCUGGCUCCUCCAGCAUCGCCCGUGGACGAGUUCACAUCUGCUUGGGAUUUUAUCAAAAGUUUUGGUCCUGCAGAUGAUGAAGAUAUGGUUUCACCGUCACAUGUUGAGAGCACUUCCGACGACAUACUUGGAAACGAGCAAGUAGGAGACAUUAUUGCUAAGAAUGAAGAGCGUAAUGAGGAUUUUGUAAAAAGUGCUUCUCAAGUAUCACAGACAAGCUCAGAGUCUUAUGUGGAAGGUGUAAGAGAUGCUGCUGAGGAUGUUCCAGAUUUAAACUCUAAAUCACAGAGUCAUGGUUCCUACAGCCUGAUAUCGAAGACAAGCUCCAAAUCACCUAGUGGUGAAUCCACUAGCGCUGUCUCAAAUAUAAGCUCUAACUCACAGAGUGAUGAAUCCUAUACAUUGAUUUUGAAGCCUGUAUAUUCUGUUUCUCCAAAUGGUUCUCCCAGUAUAAAAUCUUGGCAAAAGGGAGAUUUUCUUGGUAGUGGGUCAUUUGGAACCGUGUAUGAAGGCUUCACUGAUGAUGGAUUCUUUUUUGCGGUCAAGGAAGUUUCGUUAUUUGACCCAGGAAACCAGCAAAGCCUUUAUCAAUUGGAACAGGAGAUAUCUCUUCUAAGUCAGUUUCGACAUAAAAAUAUAGUUCGCUAUCAUGGAACAGAGAAGGACGAGAGCAAACUGUAUAUCUUUCUUGAGCUUGUUACAAAAGGUUCACUUGCAAGUGUCUACCGCAAGUAUCGCUUGCGUGAUUCCCAUGUUUCAGAUUACACCAGGCAAAUUUUGAGUGGGUUGCAUUAUCUUCAUUCCAGAAAUGUGAUUCACAGGGACAUUAAGUGUGCCAAUAUUUUGGUGGAUGUUAGUGGUUCUGUGAAGCUUGCAGAUUUCGGACUGGCAAAGGUGAGAUAGUUAUGCAGUCUAAAGAGUUCUAGAUAUUUACAAGUUUGGCUCAUAAAAUUUGUCUUUGAGCUAUUUCAGGUCGUUAAUAGGAAGAACAACGGAUAUGGGCUUCCUGCUGAUAUAUGGAGUCUGGGUUGCACUGUCUUAGAGAUGUUAACUGGCCAAAUUCCUUAUUCUCACUUAGAAGGGAUGCAAGCACUGUUCAGGAUAGGUAGAGGCGAACCUCCUCCCUUACCAGAUACGUUAUCGGCAGAAGCUCAGGAUUUCAUAAAUAGAUGUUUGCGAGUUAAUCCGAGUGAUCGGCCAACUGCAGCUGAACUACUGGAACAUCCAUUCGUAAAGAAGCCACUGUCAAAUUUCUCAAGUCCUGCAGCCCCAUAAAUUCUGCUGUCAAUUGUACUGAGGAAUGUGCAAGCCAAGGAUCAAUUUCAAAUGAGAUGCUUGUACAGUGAAUUGGUUUGUGUAGCAUCCGAGAAGUCUUGUGAACUGAAAUUGCAAAUAUUUGGACGCAAGCAGUUGAAUGCAGAUGGGCUGGUAUGUUGCAAGUAGAAUGAGCAACAAAGUUCAUAUGUUGCGUUUGUGCUUGGACGUGUUCUAUCUUAUCCAAGAUAGACUGUAGAUUAUUAGUGAAUGAGAUGAUAGAUAACCUUAUAAAGGAAAUUGUAAAUAGUCGAUAAAUGGUAGUAGUAUUUGUUUGCUUACACAAGAAAAAAAAUGAUUGCAGUUGAAAAUGAAAAUACUUCUUUUGCUGUA